AGCUGGGUAGCUUAGUCAGUAGAGCAUGAGACUCUUAAUCUCAGGGUCCUGGAUCCAUGCCCCAUAUUGGACA